rnacentral:rRNA from 1 species
GAUGAACGCUGGCGGCGUGCCUAAUACAUGCAAGUCGAGCGAACGGACGAGAAGCUUGCUUCUCUGAUGUUAGCGGCGGACGGGUGAGUAACACGUGGAUAACCUACCUAUAAGACUGGGAUAACUUCGGGAAACCGGAGCUAAUACCGGAUAAUAUUUUGCACCGCAUGGUUCAAAAGUAAAAGACGGUCUUGCUGUCACUUAUAGAUGGAUCCGCGCUGCAUUAGCUAGUUGGUAAGGUAACGGCUUACCAAGGCAACUAUGCAUAGCCGACCUGAGAGGCGGAUCGGCCACACUGGAACUGAGACACGGUCCAGACUCCUACGGGAGGCAGCAGUAGGGAAUCGUCCGCAAUAGGCGAAAGCCUGACGGAGCAACGCCGCGUGAGUGAUGAAGGUCUUCGGAUCGUAAAACUCUGUUAUUAGGGAAGAACAUAUGUGUAAGGAACUGUGCACAGCUUGACGGUACCUAAUCAGAAAGCCACGGCUAACUACGUG